GAUUUCCAUUCUUCUCUGGAUAAAGAUGAAAUUCUCAACAUGACCUAUGGGGCCUUUGUACUCUGUCCCUUGAAUGUCCUCCAUUUUUUAUAUUUUCCUUUAUUUAUGUGAUUAUUUAAUUAAUCUACUUUCUCCAUAUGUUAAUUUGAUAGGGGUGCCAUAACAAAAUAUUACACAACAGAUAGCUUGAACAACAGAAAUUUAUUUUCCUGCAGUUCUGGAGUCUGAAAUUCUAAGAGCAAGAGGUAGCUCCUCCCUUCUUUCUGCUUCUUCACCAGGAGGAUGUAAACAGCAUUCCUCCACUGUAUCCUUCCACCAUGCCCUUCCUGCCUUGGAGCCCACUGACUAUGGACGGAACUCUGUAAAAUCUAUGAGUUAAAAUAAAAUUCU
rnacentral:lncRNA from 1 species